AGCAAAACAAAGGGUGCAGUGAGUCAGACAAAAGGGCCAGUGGCCCAAAGCUCACAUGAAGUGAGGCAAGGCUGAGUGAAGAACAAAUCACAUUCAAUUUGUUCACCACAAAGGUACCACCGUAAAAGCGCCCCGCCGCACCAGAAAUCGCUUUCGGCGGCGUGGCUCCUCUGCUCUAAGAAAACCAGUCAUCAAUAUGUUCGUCUCACCCUCCCCUUCCCAAAUCUUGCAUUCACUUCACCUAGUUCUCCCUAAUUUCUCCAGAUUAGCCAAGUAGGUUGAAGAACCCUAAUAUUUGAAACGGAGAUUAAACUGCAAGGAAGAGGAAUCAAAGCCUAGCGCCCUAGGGCUUUGAUUCCUCAAGUGUGACUCUACAUGUUGGUGACAAGCAAGAUCAAAAAGGAGAUCGGAACACCUACUUGCGAGGCAGAGAUAGCCUCAGAAUUGGUUAAAAUCGAAGAUGAGAACGGUGAAGAAUCAAACACCAAAACUUAUCUAAGUACAUAUAUGAAAAAGGUGGAAAGGCCAAGGCCUACCAAUGAGGUGUUCAAAGCAUGGCAUCAAGAGGAACUUUGGGGAAUUCACCAAAAAUCAAGCAAUUGGAGCCUUGGGAAACUUGGAAGGAAAUGGAGAUGUGAUGAUGAACCAAAGUGAGGGAUUAUGCUUUUUUAGGGUUUUAGGAUUAGUAGUUGACUUUGGUCAACUGUUUGACGAAGUCUAACAUUUGACCAAAAGUCAACCUAGGUCAGAAUUAGUUUUUUUAUGUACUUUUGUAUAAACAUUGAAAUGGAUAUGGAUAUUUGUAAUGGAAAUUUGAAGUGAGACUUUGAUGAUUUUGUAAUAAAAUGCCCUUUUUUGAAAUGAA